ACUUUGCAAGAUGUUGUAUAUAUUGUAAAGCUGGCUCCCUAAUAGAAGGCAGCUAAAGACCUCUGCACUUAAAUCUGCCAAAGCUGAUACAGCAAUCACAAACAUGUGUUGUUACACUUCUUGUGGCUCAUCUCCACAUGGUGCAGCUGUUGUGUUGGCUAACGAAAAUGCAGACCCAAGGGAAACAAAUUUAAUUCAGCUGGGGUGACUUCCACUAAAAACAAAAGUGUUUUAAGGAGAACAGGUGCCUUACAGUAAGGGGGAUUGUUUGUGGGGGUUUUCCCCAAACUUGCUGUGCUUCUAGGAAGUCUGCUCUAAAGUGGUGAGCCUGCGCUGCAGGACAGGAAGACCAGCGCAAGACCUUAUCGCAUGAGCUAGAAGCUGGAGGCAGCCUGGGCAGUGUUGUUUGGAUUCCUCAGCCUUAGGAAAGGUUUCGUCAACCAAGGGCUCUGCUGGGGCAGCCCCGCAGCCGGUAAGGACAUCGUACGUUGCACACCAUGAUACCUCCUUCAGUUUCGUUGCACCUGCCCACCUCAGACAUUGCAGCAGCCACCAAACCUUCCUCUUCCUGUUGUCAACCCUCUUUCCAAAAAGAAAAAAAUGUUACUCCAGGCAAUACUCUCUUGUGUCCAGUGUCUACAUACUUCAGUUUCUAGUUUGGGGCCUGUUUUUUCUUUCUCCCCCCAACAAGGUCAAAAUUUUUGGUGAAGCAGAAGCCCAAAUGAAAGA